rnacentral:misc_RNA from 1 species
UUCAGGAUCUUACUCUCCUCAGGAAUCAUGCAAUAGCGUGGCAAAUUUGGCAAGCUAGCACCCAAAAUAAGAUCAAUAUGAUAUUGGACAUCACGUAUGGGAGGCAAUCCAUCUGGUAUGUCAUCUGGCNNUCCUCGAACUCCUUCAACAACGGCAUUACUAGCUCGGGAGGCUCCUCCACUUGGGAUUUUGACUUCCCCAUAAGGAUUUGCUUCACAACCAAAGCAUGGACUUGCUUUGUUUCC